rnacentral:rRNA from 1 species
GUGCACCAGGCGAGAAUUUUUCACAAUGGGGGAAACCCUGAUGGAGCGACGCCGCGUGGAGGAUGAAGGCCCUCGGGUCGUAAACUCCUGUCAUGCGGGAACAAGAAAGUGAUAGUACCGCAAGAGGAAGAGACGGCUAACUCUGUGCCAGCAGCCGCGGUAAUACAGAGGUCUCAAGCGUUAUUCGGAUUCAUUGGGCGUAAAGGGUGCGUAGGUGGCGAUGUAAGUCUGGUGUGAAAUCUCGGGGCUUAACCCCGAAACUGCAUUGGAUACUGCGUUGCUUGAGGAUUGUAGAGGAGAGUGGAAUUCACGGUGUAGCAGUGAAAUGCGUAGAUAUCGUGAGGAAGACCAGUUGCGAAGGCGACUCUCUGGGCAAUUCCUGACACUGAGGCACGAAGGCCAGGGGAGCAAACGGGAUUAGAUACCCGGGUAGU